rnacentral:tRNA from 1 species
GGGCGCUUGGUCUAGGGGUAUGAUUUUCGCUUCGCAUCUUCCUCUGUGCUCAUUCGAGAGCUGCAGAUGCGCCACUGUGAAAGGUCGUGGGUUCAAUUCCCACAGUGUCCA